UUCCUGGUGGCUCAUAUGGUAAAGAAUCUGCCUGUAAUGCAGGAGGCCAGGGUUCAAUCUCUGGGUCAGGAAG
rnacentral:tRNA from 1 species